UAACCUUCAAGCCUAGCUUGGUCUUGGAGUCGCUAGCUAGCGGCCCCUAAAUUCAGUGGCGGUGCCUGUAGGCUCUACGCGUAGUAAUCUCUCUCGCGACGGAGCCCUAUAAGUGCUUGCCAACAACCCCAAUUUUUUCA
rnacentral:misc_RNA from 1 species